UCCUUGAAUUUGCAUGAAAUUGAUCAAGGAACUAUUAUUCCUAUUCAAAGAAGUAUUGAAUUUGCAUCUAAGUCCCCUGAUAUAUUUACUGAUAAGAGACAAUUACAAAGAUUUCUUGGUAGUCUUAAUUAUAUUGCCGAUUACUAUGAGAAUCUUGCUAAUGAUACUAGUAUAUUACAUGUUAGACUUAGAAAAAAUCCUGACCCUUGGACUGAUAAACAUUCUCAAGCGGUCCGAAGAAUUAAAAACAAGGUUAAAUGUUUUCCUUGCUUAUCUCUGACUAAUCCCAAGUAUUUUAAAAUCGUUGAAACUGAUGCUUCAGAUUUAAGAUAUGGAGGAAUUCUAAAACAGGUUAUACCU